ACUGCUAUCGGGAUAGGACUAAGACAUGCUAGUCAAGCGCUCGCCAGCCAAAGGCAAGUGCGGCGUACAGCUCAGUAACACGUGGCUAACCUGCCCUUGGGACAAGGACACCCCCGGGAAACUGGGGCUAAUCCUCGAUAGGUGAAGAACUCUGGAAUGAAUCCUCGCCCAAAAGAAGCUUACGCUAUGCUCGUAAGCUCCGCCCAAGGAUGGGGCCGCGACCGAUCAGGUAGUUGGUGAGGCAACGGCUCACCAAGCCUUUUACCGGUGCGGGCCGUGGGAGCGGGAGCCCGGAGAUGGGCACUGAGACAAGGGCCCGGGCCCUACGGGGCGCAGCAGUCGCGAAAACUUUGCAAUACACGAAAGUGUGACAGGGCUAUCCCGAGUGCCAUCCGCUGAGGAAGGCUUUUACCCAGUGUAGAAAGCUGGGGGAAUAAGGAGAGGGCAAGACUGGUGUCAGCCGCCGCGGUAAUACCAGCUCUCCGAGUGGUAGGGAUGAUUAUUGGGCCUAAAGCGUCCGUAGCCGGCUUGGCAAGUUUCCUGUUAAACUCAGCGACCUAAUCGUUGAAUCGCGGGAAAUACUACUAGGCUAGGAGGCGGGAGAGGUCGACGGUACUUCUGGGGUAGGGGUGAAAUCCUAUAAUCCCGGGAGGACCACCAGUGGCGAAGGCUGUCGACUAGAACGCGCUCGACG
rnacentral:rRNA from 1 species